AAAACAAGAGCUUUUCAGAUGAGCCAAGGACGACUUCCUAAAAUACCACUUCAAUGGUUGUCUAGUUGUACGAGUACAAUUUACAACUCUAGAUUUCUAUGGAUUUAGGCAAGUCAUCCUUGGCUAUCCAAAUCGCUCUUU
rfam:Helianthus annuus linkage group 9, whole genome shotgun sequence.